AUAUGAGACUGUUUGUGGGUGCAGGUUAUUGGAGGAAGGGAACAUUGAAUCUGCAGAGGUGCAGAAGCAGAGGAUCGAACAGCUGCAGCGAGAGAGACGCAGAGUCCUGGAGGACAACCACAUGUCACAUCAACCUCGAUUCUUCCAAAAGUCCAGAGAUGACACCUGGGUGAGCAACAACACUUACUGGGAGUUAAGGAAAGAUCCUGGAUUCAGUAACUUUGACUGUCCGGUCCUCUGGUAACCCAGAGGCAGCCAAUAUACAUCUGUGCUCACUGUUGCCUGCUCUUAACUGUUCCACCUUCCAGAGACAACACACACCUUGUGAGGUAGAGACUGAUAAAGCUGUGAGAGACCGGUGGCUGCAGAAUUACAAUCUGAUCGUUUCAAAUCAUUCCUUAAUAUUUAUUAUUUAAUGUCCCAGCAGUUCAUUGCCUUAAUAUGCUUACAUUAUGUUGUAGUGUCAUUUAUGCAAAUGGUUCCAUUGGAAGUAUGAGAAAUAUGCAAUCCUGCCCAGUAAUUUUUUUUUUGGCUGAUGUGCAUAGUAAGUAGCACAAGAAACCAAGAGAAAAACUGUUGGAUUGUGGUCCCUUGUGGCUAAACAUACUAGCAAUCUUGUUAAAG